GACGAACCGUGCGAGCGUUGUUCGGAAUCACUGGGCGUAAAGGGCGCGUAGGCGGGCUGACACGUCUGGGGUGAAAUGCCGCGGCUCAACCGUGGAACUGCCUUAGAUACUGUCGGACUCGAGGGAGGUAGGGGCAUGCGGAACUGUGGGUGGAGCGGUGAAAUGCGUUGAUAUCCUCAGGAACUCCGGUGGCGAAAGCGGCGUGCUGGACCGCUUCCGACGCUGAGGCGCGAAAGCUAGGGGAGCAAACGGG
rnacentral:rRNA from 1 species